rnacentral:rRNA from 1 species
UACGAAGGGGACUAGCGUUGUUCGGAAUUACUGGGCGUAAAGCGCACGUAGGCGGAUUUGUUAGUCAGGGGUGAAAUCCCGGGGCUCAACCUCGGAACUGCCUUUGAUACUGCAAGUCUCGAGUCCGAUAGAGGUGGGUGGAAUUCCUAGUGUAGAGGUGAAAUUCGUAGAUAUUAGGAAGAACACCGGUGGCGAAGGCGGCCCACUGGAUCGGUACUGACGCUGAGCCGCGAAAGCCAGGGGAGCGAACGGG